rnacentral:lncRNA from 1 species
CUGAUAAGACCCCUUGCUUCCUAUAAGGGAAUGUGACCUUCCCUAAUACAAUCCACUCUUUCUUCUGCCUGUUGAAAACUUUCCAUUUUGCACAACUCCUAGGAGCGCCUUUCUAUUUACUAGGCGGGAUGCUGCCCGAUUCAUGAGUUGUUUAGUAGGCCAAGUAGAUUUUCAGAUUUACUCAGUUGAUGCUUGUGUUUUAAGUGUUGAGCUGUAUUGAAGCAGGAUUAAAGAAAUGACUGAAUUAAGUGUGAUCUUUUCUUUUAUUGUUUUUCCAACUUUCUGAACAAAAAUCCAAAAGGAUAGCAACACUAAAGUGGAUGAUGAAUAUUUGCUGAAGCCUUCCACAUGUCUUUGGGUAAAAAAAAGGGGAAAACAAUCCAUGUGGGACUGAGUUCAUCUUCCUGACACACACAAUGCACUUAACGCCUUAAGAAAACUCAGAGGAAAGCUCUACGGCCGCCACUGUGAGACCAGACGGGAAACCGAAGGCAAAAGGGCAGUGGUCAGUGAGUAGCAAGCCGAAAUACGACACCAAGGAACUGAAAUAGGAUUAUUCCACUUGAAACGUGACUCCCGGCGAGGCACUUACCCUCAGAGCUCCCGGAAAGUGAGGGCGGUCGGGCCCACUAAACAAGAGAAUUUGCGCCCGACCGCGUCACUAAGGUGCUUUGAAAUCACCUGGCGAACGGCAUGCUAGACAAAGAAAACGGCCAGCGCAAGUGAAACUAGUCCGGGUUCGCGAAAGCACUCGGCCCAAAAAGCCUGAUCAGAAAGACGGGAGGGCUGGGGAGAGUCGCGAAGUGUAGCCCCAGGCUGCGUCGCCGCCCCGGAACCGAGCCGACGCCCGUGGGAUGAGAAGGGCGGGACAGGCAUCGGGGCGGGACUCUCACCGGCCGCCGGGCCUGCCCAGCCCCGGAGGGAGAGAACAGAGGAUCCGGGCACCAGCCGAGGCGCCGGGCACUAUCUCUACCUGCGGCGAGUCGCCGCUACAGCCGCCGCCGGGCUACCCACCCCACACCGCCAGGGGGCCCAACGCAGCGUGCACCCGCGCAACAGACGCACGGCGGCCGCGACCCCACAGCCGGCGCCGCUGACGUCAGGCCGACGUCAGAGCGGACGCCGCGGCGGGGCGGGAGCUGGGACGGCGAAGGAGGGCGUUUUCGGAGCACGCGCUGGGCUGGGGCCGCUGACGUCGGGCUCAGGGCCGCGGCGAGAAGGCGAGAGUCCGCGCUUUCCGAGGGAGCUGCGCCGGCCUCGGCCCCGCGGGGUCCCACCGCACCCGAGAGGAUGGAGAGCCUCCCCCGACGCCCCAGCAGGGCCCGCGAUCCCACGCUGGCCGGCCCUCGCUAGCUGCUCGAAAUUUGCGUUUUAUCCACCACCUAGGCCUUGUCUCCUGAGUCAGUGGCGUUGUGGUUCCAAAGAAAUGGAAGAAAAGGAGCGAUGUGACCGACUCCGUUCGGUCCUCCUACCUUGA